AGUUCAACUACAUUGAUUCAGAAGUCCUGUAUGCUUGAUGAGCUAUAUACUGUAAAAUCAAUGUGACGGUGAAGUACAUCUUGCCAAAUUAAUAGCAGUCUUUGAGGGGUGGACUGUCAAGUUACCUGGAAUAUAAUAUUAAAAGAUGCAUUUUCCAAGCUACUCUUCAGAAUAUUUGGUGCCAUCGUCAGGCAAUUCGCUGAAUUGCGCAAGAUCCCCGUGGAUUUUCUGCUGUCAGACGCAACCCUCAUUGUCAGUUCAUCGCAAUUCCGAGGGCUGGCGCCAGAUUCUGAAACCCCGAGAAUUGAAUUGAAAAUCAGAUUCUAUCCGAUGGAUGAAAAAGGUAUAAUGCUUUCAUUGAUUCCUGAGGGAUUUUUGUCGGGCAUGAUUGUCAACGCCAG
rnacentral:misc_RNA from 1 species